UUUUUUAAUGAGCUUUUUUUUUUUUUAAAGAUUUGACUUAUUUAUUUGAAAAGCAGAGUUACAGAGAGAGGAAGAGACAGAGAGAAAGGUCUUCCAUCUGCUAGUUCACUCCCCACAUGGCCACAACUAGGCCAGAGCUGAAUCCAGGAGCCAGGAGCUUCUUCCAGGUCUCCCAUAUGGGUGCAGGGGCCCAAGGACUUGGGCCAUCUUCUACUGCUUUCCCAGGCCAUAGCAGAGAGCUGGAUCGGAAGAGGAACACCUGGGACUUGAACUGGCGCCCGUGUGGGAUGCCGACACCACAGGCGGAGGCUUAGCUUACUGCAGCACAGUGCCGGCCCCUCGCCUGGUUUUUGAAUGUUUCCUUUGUCAUCACCAGGGCACUUUCGCAGAGGCUCAGCACAGUUUUCUAGCACACGCUCCCCACGUCUAAGGUGUCUGAUUUACAAAUGCCUGUGUAAUUAUCCCAAGGCACAGAUACCUACCUGUUGAACACUAGCCCACUAAGUUACUUUUAUUCUCCUCAUACGAAUAAAUUCAUCACUCAUCAUUGGCUCAGCAUUUGUAGUGCGUUAGGAAGGGGGCUGUAAAAGGCUUGCCUGCAGCUGUAUCCAACACCCCCGAGGGUAAGACCACACUCCCAGAAGUUCUAAAACUGUAACAAAAUUACUUUAUCUUCCUUUUAGCCUGUUUACCAAGUUACCGUGAUUAACACCCAAAAGGAGCAUGGAGAGAGGUCCUUUCAGGCUAAUGUAUCUUUCCCAAGAGGCUCCUGUUGGUCAAAACGAAAUAAUGGGGGCUGGCGCUGUGGCAUAGUAAGGCUAAACUUCCCCCUGUGGCACCGGCGUCCCAUAUGGGCACCGGUUCGAGUCCCAGCUGCUCCUCUUCUCAUCCAGCUCUCUGCUGUGGCCUGGGAUAGCAGUAGAAAAUGGCCCAAGUGCUUGGGCUCCUACACCCACGUGGGGGACACUGAAGAAGCUCCUGGCUUUGGAUUGGCUCAGCUCCAGCCAUAGUGGCCAUCUGGGGAGCAAACCAGAGGGUGGAAGACCUCUCUCUGUCUCUCCCUUUCUCCGUUUGUAACUCUACCUCUCAAAUAAAUAAACCUUAAAAAAAAUGAAAUAAUGGAGAAAGUGUCCCAUAAUACAGCACGUUCUGCAAGGAAUCGAGUAUAAGGGAUGAUUUGGGAGAACAGCCCUGCUUUUUAUUCUGGCUAAGAGUUACAGCCGCAGAAACAGCUAGCAUUUGAGUGGGCAUUGUGGCGCCCCAGCAUCCCCUAUCAGGCUGGGAUCAAGUCCCGGCUGCUCCGCUUCCAAUCCAGCUUCCGGCUGAUGCAUCCUGGGAGGCAGCAGGUGACGGCUCAAGUGCUUGGGCCCCUGCCACCCAUGUGGAAGACCCGGAUGAAGUGCCAGGCUCUGGGUUCCUGUCUGAUCCAGCCCUGGUUGUUGCAGGCAUUUAGGGGAGUGAACCAGUGGAUGGAAGAUUCUUUCUCUCUCCCUCUCCCUCUCCCCCCCCCCUCCACCCCCCUCUCUCCCAUUCUUGCUGUGCCUUACCAGUACAUGAAAAUAAAAACAUUUUUAAAAAAGGAAGCAAGAAGCUCAGUUGGUUGGGACCCACCCCAGCCCGGCACUGCACUCUUUACUUCCCACGUGCGUUCACGUGACAGCCUUGUGAGGAAGGCUCACCUGUUGUUCUCAAUCUACAGACAGUCUGCGGCAGGUGCACACACAUGCUGGCGGCCACAUGGGUAUUGGUAGGUGGAUCUGGGAUUUGACCCGUGUCUCCUGAGCCCAGACUCUUAAUCACCAUAUCACUCAACCCUGAUCUGCCGGACUCACGGCUGCUGGGAGUGCCCUAGCCUGCCUGGUAGUCAGGUUUGCUGGGUUCCUACCUUGCACCUGCCAAGGUGCCUGCAGCACGGGGGCCAAACCCAGCUUGGUUCGCUCUUCCCAGUUGGUGGUCCCUCCCAGGGUGCAGGCUGAGGCAUCACACCUGGCUCCUCCUCACCCCUGCUCGGGCAGCUUACAACCAGCUUACAGAAGAAAAGCGUACUGGCAGGAAAGUGAUCUCUUCUUUGGGUCUCGUUUUCCAGCACAGGGGACAGCGUAGACGCCAGGCACCAGACACUGGGUUGCCUCUGCCUUUGCUGAGCAAAGAGGCUUCAGAAGUUUUUAUUUUUUUAAUUAUGGAAAAUCUCAAACAUAUAUAAAAGUAGGAGAACAUACCCAUCACCAAGAUUCAACAAUCAUAACUCAUGCCGAGUCUUGCCUCUUCCUUAUCCCGCCCCAGUCCCCCUUGCCUGGUGCAUUAUUUUAAAGCAAAUCCCAGACACUGUACAUUUCAACUGGAACUAUUUCUAAAGGAAGAGGGAAUCUUUGUUAGAAAGUAGCCAGGAGGGAGCCACUGGCGUAAGCAUUCUCUAGGCAGUGUUCCGUUUUCUCUGAUUGUCUCCGAAGUGUUUUUCACAUCUUACAAAAGCUGGGGCCAGCGUCGUGGCACGGCAGUUUACUAAGGGUAGGACUGAAGAAUCUAAAAGUUUUAAAGAUUGAGGUCGGUGUUGCGGCGUAGCGGGUAAAGCCGCAGCCUGUGAUGCAGGCAUCCCAUAUGGGCACUGGUUCGAGUCCUGGCUGCUCCACCUUUGAUCCAGCUCCCUGCUAAUGCACCUGGCAAGGCAGUGAAGAUGACGCAAGUGCUUGGGCCUCCUGACCCCCUGCCCAUGUCGUUUGUGAAGGAGACCUGGUUGGUUGUGCUAUGGCGUGUCCCCCCGCCUGAAUUCCUGGCUUGUAUUCCCAUGAGUCCUUAAACUUGCUCCUCUGUCCUCUGUGUCUCCUGCACUCAGAUCUGGACAGUCGGUCAGAUUCAGGUUCAAGUUUUGGCAAUAGGUGCCUCACCUAGGUGUUGUGUCCUCCAUCACGGGACCCUGAAUGUUGGGUCUUUUUGAAAAGCCAGCAGUCACUGGUAUUCAUGGCCUCAAUUUAGUAUUUCAUUAGGAAUUAUAAAAUAUGAUGUUCUGGUUUUCUCUUUUUUUUUUUUUUAAAUGGUUUUAUUUGAGAGGUAGAGUUACAGAGAAAGAGAGAGUCAGAGAGAAAAAGUCUUCCAUACACUGGUUCACUCUGCAAAUGGCCACAAUGGCUGGAGCUGGUCCGAUAUAAUCCAGGAGCUUUCCUAGGUCUCCCACAUGGAUGCAGGGGCCCAAGCACUUGGACCGUCUUCUACUGCUUUCCCAGGCCGUUAGCAGAGAGCUGGAAGAGGAGCAGUCGGGACUCAAACCGGCGCCCAUAUGGAAUGAAAGCUCCACAGGCAGGAGAUUAACUGACUUUGCCACAGCGCUGGCCCCGCUGCCUUCCUUCUUCACUUGCUAUCUGGGAUACUUUUUUUUUAAAAAAAGAUUUAUUUAUUUGAAAGAGUGACAGAGACAGAGAGGGAGACACACACACACACACACACACACACACACACUUCCAUUUGCUGGUUCUCUCCUCAAGUGGCUGCAACAGCUGGCACCUGUCUGAGCUGCAGCCAGGAGCUGGGAACUCCAUCCGGGUCUCCCACAUGGGUGGCAGGGAUGCAAGGGCUUGGGCCAUCCUCUGCUGCUUUCCCGGUGCAUUGCAGGGAGCUGGGUCAGAAGCAGAGCAGCUGGGAUCAGAACCUGCACUCAGAUACGUGAUCAGCAUUGCAGGUGGCGGCUUAACUUGCCGCACCACGGUGCUGGCCCCAGGAGCUGGAAUACUUCAAAAAGUGCACCUUCUCACGAACUCUUUGGGACUAUUUUAUUAGGAAUGGACGAUCAAAAUGACUGUGCUUUGGCCACUUGCAGUAAUUCUUCUCUGUGGGGUUCUGUCACCAACUGGCCGUAAGGUCAGGUCCACAAAGAGGGGGCAAUGUGGGUCCUCUCUCUUCCCAUACACCGGGCUCUGCACCUCUUCCUUCAGGGUCCAGGGCUAUUUCCAGGCAUUGUACAAAGAGCUUUCCACAUGUUGGCUGCGCUUCAAGCAACCCCGUGGGGGUAGGGAUCAUCCCCGCACUUCACAGCAGAAACCAGCGCCGAGCCGAGUCGGGAUUCGAGCUGGCGACUCCCUGAUGUCACUCACUGGCUGGUAACUGGAGGAUCCGCCGCUGUUUAAGACCCCACCGCAGAGAUGGGGCGUGUUGGUCAGCUUUUAGUUAGCACAGUGAAAUGCCAGAGCCGACGAACGUUAGCAAGAGAAAUGGGCUGUUCAGCGUACAGUUCUGGAGGUGCAAGUCCAAGACCGGGCGGCCCUGGUGGUUUGGGCUCCCGCGAGGACCGUGGAUGGACAGGUGCAGGAGAAGAAGCGUGUGGCAAGCCAGGCAGUGACAGCGAGAGGCUGGGACCAGCCCGGCUUUGACAGCCAGCUUCUCCUGCAAGCCCCUCGUGGCCUGAGCCUCCCCACCAUGUCCACCUGCUAAACACCCCACCUUCUGCGAACCGAGGCCGUGUGCUAUGAAGUACUGCCUGAGCUCACACCUCGGCUGAGGGGUGCAGAGGUGACCCCGACAGGGUCCUGUCCUCUCGGGGCUCCCGUCCGGCGGGGCUCCCGUGUCUGGACUGAUGGUUGUCGCGUAGGACUCUGUGUAUAUCUGCAGAGGAAGGUGCUCCAUGGGAAUCUGCAUCCAACCGCUCUGAGCAGGAUCCAGCACUGCCAGCACCGCUCAACCACCUGCCAUAGCUCCCCACUGCCCGGGGGCAGAGCCCACACUCUGGAGCUGCCUGUGCUCCUGCAUGGCUUCACCCUGACAAUGACCCUGAGAAGUCGACGCUGCACUCCCUCUGAGCCAGAGCCCAGCACAGCAGCAAUCACUGGAUGUUUGUUGAAUGAAAAAUAAAGUUACAUGCUUGAGGUUGUUGUGGAAGUCUUAUGCCUCAUGGACUCAGGAACCUUUGUAAAAGAUUAAUAACUUUUAAAUGACUAUAAUAACCCUCAUUAUAGAAAAUUUGGAAAGCAUAGAACUAAAACAGGAAAAGUAAAAACAGGAGGAGGAUGUAUCAUUAUAUUCUUAAAACUGUAUAUGAAAUACAUGAAAUCUGUUUUCUUUAUAUAAUAAAGAACUUUAUUUUAAAAAUGAAAAUAAAAACAAUCCAUCAAAUGAA